CCCGUCACCCUGGGGAGGCGGGAACUACAAGUCCCAUGGUCUCACAUCGGCAGCAGGUGGGAGCUUGGAUGUUGAUAUCAACAUGGCGCUUGUCAGACAGACAAAGACAGUCAGUCUGGUGUGAUUGAGCCAAAAAAACCCAAACAAACCCGAGGGAGCGGGCGAGGCGCAGGGAGCGGCAGGAGCCGGGCCGCGCGGGGAGGGGUCCCUGGUCCUCAGGGGGCUGGGGAGGGGGGCGAGGUGGCCGAGGGAUUUCCUCCCCCCCCCCUAUUGUCCUCGCCCCUCUGCGCUCCCGUUCAUCCCCCCUCACUCUGGGGCAGGCGGGGGGACCCCCCCACUCCUGCCGUUACAUGGUGAGGUGGAGGCGCCGCCGGCACCCAGAGAAUGGUGAAUAACACUGAAGACCCUCAAGAGGCUUUAUAACGUCCCAUCCCCAUGUAAAGUAUGCUCAGAACUUUUCCAGUAGUUCUGCUGGAAACCAUGUCUCACUACACAGACGAACCAAGAUUUACCAUAGAGCAGAUAGACCUGCUUCAGCGCCUGAGACGUACCGGAAUGACCAGACAUGAAAUUCUCCACGCGCUGGAAACCUUGGAUCGUCUUGAUCAAGAGCAUAGUGACAAAUUUGGAAGAAGGUCUAGCUAUGGAGGUGGUUCCUACAGCAACAGUACCAACAAUGUCCCAGCAUCUUCCUCUACAGCCACAGCUUCAACACAGACCCAGCAUUCUGGGAUGUCCCCAUCACCGAGCAACAGUUACGAUACCUCCCCACAGCCUUGCACUACUAAUCAGAACGGGAGGGAGAGUAACGAGAGGUUGUCUGCAUUCAACGGGAAGAUGUCACCUACGCGCUACCCACUUGCAAACAGCUUGGCUCAAAGGUCAUACAGUUUUGAAGCUUCUGAAGAGGACUUGGACAUUGAUGACAAAGUGGAGGAACUGAUGAGGAGGGACAGCAGCGUGAUAAAGGAGGAAAUCAAAGCCUUCCUAGCCAAUCGGAGAAUUUCCCAAGCAGUUGUUGCACAGGUAACAGGUAUCAGUCAGAGCCGGAUCUCCCAUUGGCUGUUGCAGCAGGGGUCAGACCUGAGUGAACAGAAGAAAAGGGCAUUUUACAGAUGGUACCAGCUUGAGAAGACAAAUCCUGGGGCUACAUUAAGCAUGAGACCCGCUCCUAUCCCAAUAGAAGAGCCAGAAUGGAGACAGACGCCUCCCCCAGUCACAGCUACCUCUGGGACCUUCAGACUACGGCGAGGCAGUCGGUUCACAUGGAGAAAGGAGUGCCUGGCUGUUAUGGAAAGUUACUUCAAUGAGAAUCAAUAUCCAGAUGAGGCAAAGAGAGAAGAAAUUGCAAACGCCUGUAAUGCAGUUAUACAAAAGCCAGGGAAAAAGUUAUCGGAUUUGGAACGAGUUACCUCCCUUAAAGUGUACAAUUGGUUUGCCAACAGAAGAAAGGAAAUCAAGAGAAGAGCCAAUAUCGAAGCAGCAAUCCUGGAGAGCCAUGGAAUAGAUGUCCAGAGUCCGGGAGGUCAUUCCAACAGUGACGACGUUGAUGGCAAUGACUACUCGGAGCAGGACACUUGGCAAGUACGCAAUGGGGAGGAGGAGGGAAGAUGUUCAGAGGGAGGCAGAGAAGCAGAGAAGGUAGAAGAAGACAGGAGGAUCUGCUCCAAACAAGCAAGUUACACCAUUCACGCCACACGCAAUGAUGACAGCACUAGCCAUAGUGACCAUCAAGACCCCAUUUCAUUAGCCGUGGAAAUGGCAGCGGUAAACCACACCAUCUUGGCAUUGGCCCGGCAAGGAGCCAACGAGAUCAAGACAGAAGCUCUAGACGAUGACUGAUACAAAGAGAGGGGAGGGUCAAAGCAAGAAGUAACUUAGUUUUAGACGUAGCACCUUAGCAGACUUUCCUCAGUCCUUAAUAUGUGUUCUUACAGUAUAACUUUGCAGUUUCUUGUACGUCAGUUAGCUGUUAGGGUCUUGUUCUGUGAAGAUGGCAUGGUGCCCUCAGCCUUUGCAUAUACUCUCUCAGUAUUAAUUCCCAGUAAAUAAUCAACCAACCAACCAACCUCCCUCUCCCAGCCCCAGUGGCUAGAAAAAUCUUGCUGCUCUGUCUUAGCAUUCAAAGUGCUUCCAGGUAUUUUAGACAGCCCUCAAUUACAAGUCUUAGGCUACACUUAAAACCUUGGAUAACCUUAGAGAUCGUGUUAAAAAAAUAGUCUGUAUGCUUUUCCUUCUCUGAGACUGAAAGGAUGCAAGCUGAGGUAGUGGCACAGGGUCGAUGGACACCAGAUCGGGAGUAUCAACAGAGAGUAAAAAGAACACUAGAAACCCCACUUCAGCAUGGGAAUAAAUGAUUUCCAGCUGCAAUAAGCCGUGCCUCACUGGUCAUACAGUGACUUGAUAUACUUUUGGGUGCUGUGCUGAGAAUGUCCAUUGGAAAUACAUUCACAUAUUUUGGUUGAUGUUCACAUAUUCAACACAGACAUCCUCUACUCUCACAAGCUGCGUGGCUUAGUGGAUAAGUACUGCCUUCUGCCUCUGGGACCAUGAUUGAAGCCCAUCCUGGGAUCAUAUGAAAAAUGAGCUGAAUGUCUAAUGGACAACAGUCCACUUCUCAAAACCACUAUUCAUUAUUUGGCAUGGCUAGCAGUGCCUGCUCAGAAGAGGUCUAGACUUUAUUGAUCUGUCAUUAACAAUUUCACCUAUUAUUCUUCCUCUCACCUUUUCUGUCCCCACCCUACUCCCCUCUCCACUUUGCUGCUUUCAAAAGCAAUGUUUUCCAGGAAGGUUAUUAAGGUCAUAAAAUGGGUGAGUGGAUUUUUACACAUCUGUGUAACUAAUGCCUACAUCCUGACUAGCCUGAAAGGUUCUUGGAGAACUUUUGCAUCUGACCUUUGCUAGGUAACCAUCAUAGCAUAAAUAUUCUCCUAAAUACGAACUUUUUUUGUUUGUUUAAAGGCAGGAGGAUCUCUUACCUGAGAAAUGGGGUGUGAAUGUUUUGUGUUCUCUUUACUCUGUCCUUGUUAAGAUGUGAGAAAGCUAUACUGCUACGAGCAAUUUAAUUAAUAAUUGGAAGCCAUACUGAUAAUGGAUGUGGUAAUAUUUGUAAAGCAAACCUACUUUAAGUAGCAGAAACUAAUGGAAUUGUUUUCCUUGAUCAUAUGUAGCACUUUUGUUACUUUUUUCUUAAAGAUAUUUAUAUUUGAUAAGUCUUUUUUUUAUCAUUUGAGAAUUCAAAAUACCAAACAGCAAACUUGCAUUGCAGAGUCACCCUGUGAUCACCUUGUCAUCUAGUAUCUAAAUGAUGAACUGUGUGUGCAUCUAAGAAAAUUACAUCUGCUAGCAUUGUGUGGAAAUGAUCUCCUGGCAUCCUGAUAAAAUGAUAUGCUGCUGCCGGUAAGAGGAAACAUUUCGAUGGAAACAGCAUGGGAAGUGUUAGAGAUGGGCAGGACUGUGUUGCAUUAAAAAUAAAAAUUAAAAACCUAUGUAAAUUUUUGUAUGUAGAUACAUAAAAAUUUGCAUAGCGUUUCCUCCACAUUCCAUUUUUAUCUUCCCAGUUUAUGUGGGAAUAGCUUAAAAAAAGGAAAACAGCUCAGUCUGAAGGAUGGGUUUCCCUUUUCUCCCUUCCACUUUUCAGGUGGGGGGAAUGAAGGGAAGUUGCUGUUACUUGUCUUGUUCUCCUCCAUUGCUCACGCUUAACUAUCAGAUAGUAUUGUGAACUCUGAAAAUGUGGCUUCUCAGCAGGUUUUUAGCCAGCUUACACCCUUCAAGGCAUAGGCCAACUAGAUGAUCUUUACAUCUGUGAAUCUCAUGAAAAUUGCUUAGGUAAGUGUGGAGCAGAUUUUGAGCUUUCAGGAGGCACAGAGUUGGCAUCUCUUUGCUCUGUAACUUUGAAGAUAUGUAGGUAGGGUCUGGCCUCGUCUUUCUCUUAUGGAUUUCAUUGGAAAAUUUAUGUGCUUUCCUUAGAUAAAGAUCACUGAAGCAGAAUGAAGCCGUCUUUUUUUUUUUUUUUUUUUCUGUUUUAUUGCAUUUCUUGAGUAGGCAAAUUUGUAAGUAGCAUCAGGGCAGACUCAGGAAAGAAAGGAAUUGGGUCAGUGACCAUUGCACCAUUGAAGUUUUUUUCUUAAUGUGUCUAUGAAUGUCUGGUACUAAGGAGUGAAAGGACGGGGAGAGCUUUUAUUUCUGUUUUUGCACAGCAGAAUGAUCAAGCAAACUAUAGCCUUAGUGGAAUUUUACCUACUUACUCAUUCCACAGUCACACACCAAGCUGACAAGCAACAUCCACGAUUUAUAGUGAGGAGAUUUUAAUAAUCGAUGACCUCUUUACGCUGGGCUUGCCACCACCAUUUGUUCUGGCUGUUUCAUUUUAAAAAGAACAGACUUAAACUGUUGGACAGCUGUAAUUUUAAAAGAAAUAUUGCUUACUAUACCAUCUUACAAAAAAUGUCAUUGUUUCAAGCAUUGCCUUUUUAAAGCAAUAGGGAAGAAUAAAAAUAGUAGUAGAACUUCUAUAUCAUGAUUAUGGGUUCAUGUGAUGCAGGAUCAAACUGACACCAUUAAAAUUGCAUGUCUAUACCACCUAAUGUAGAAUAAUCUCGUCUUAAUUCUGUUUGUCCCUGUCAGGUAGCUGCUGGUCUCAUCACGCAUCAAUAUCCUAUUGGAAGGUUAAACAGUUAAACCCCUUGUGAAUGGCUGGAGGUUGGCAGAUCCUCCCUGUCUGUAGCUUCCUGGUAAAUACCAGUUUCCUGCUUUCCCACAGCAUCUUCUCACCAGAGAAAAUAACAAAUGGCUUAACUGGGCAAUCAGACGCUUAGUUCCAUGUGUCAGUGUCUGGGUUGCCCCUGUCUAUUUUGGCUUUUCUUCAACCAUUGAGAGGUACGAGGAAGGUGUAGGACUUCAGCCAUUACCAGGGUGCUUAUGACAGUUUGUUUCCUUGAUUCUGAACAAUUUGCAGUUGACUAGUGGCUUGUUGGUUUGUCAUGAAUGAGCAAGAACAGAACAGAUGCUGGUGUGGUGGUAUCAGGAGAAGUGUACAUGAUCUGGAGUGAGUGAAUGGGUGGAGAACAUGUCCUGGAAUUUAGUCUUUGUUCUAGGGUUUUUUCCACAAUAUGGGACUCUUGUUUUUCCAUCUCUGGAUUUUCUUGAAAAAUUAGGUCUCAUUAUUGUAGCUUUGCAAUUCAUUUGGAAUUCAUUGUAGCCAAUCUGGAAUUACUGCAAUUUGUUCUCAUGUCAGUUCCCUUGAAGUGGAUCUGGUGGCAGACUAGAUUUACCUUAUUGUUCUGUGAAUAGAGAAGAAAUUAUUUAAGAUGCUUCUCUUCUGUGACAGGCACAGAUUGCUUAUAGUUUUGUAGAAUAAGUUCUGGCUGUUAUUUUGUCACUCAUAAAGUCCUUAUACUUGAGUUAUUGUCUCUUGCCGUCUUCUUAAAACAACAAUUUCUACCUCCACUUCUUUUUUAGGUUGUUUUGGGGUUUUUUUAGUUUUUGCUUUUUUGUUUUCCUAAGGAUAUGAGAUCCCAGAUGUUUGCAAAAGCAUUAUGAGUUGAUAAAAAUAAGUCGACAUAGGGAUGAGCAGGCAUGUUAUCCAUUGAUGCCCUUAUGUUACAGAGACAUUUUCUAAAUACUCUAUAAACAUAUGUGGUGUUCCAGCAUAAUCCUAUUACUCCCAUGUUGGAUGUGAGCAAGUUGGUUGCGAGUCAGCAGAGGUCACCGAGAAGAGCGUUCAACAGGUCAAGGAAAGUCUCCUCUGUUCAUCACUUGUGCGACCACAUCUGGAGUACUGUGUGCAGUGUUGGACAGGAGUGAGUCCACUAUAGGGCUCCUGAGGUGAGAGGGUCAGAGCACAUGUCAUGUGGUGAGUGAUUGCAAGAGCUGGGGUUGUUCGGGCUGGCUCUAGAAGCAUCCUCUGUUUUGUUCUUCAUCUGUCUUAAUGGGUGGGUUUAGAGAAGACAUAGCCAGGACCAGGACCUUCUCAGAGGUGCAUAGCAAAAAGGUGCGGGACAGCGAGUUAAAGCUGCAUUAGAGAAAAUCCCAAGUGAACGUGAAGAGAAAUAUUUUCAUGCUUAAAGUGGGAGAGCAGUGGCCCAGGAAGGCAGCGGAUAUCCCGGCCUUGAGGAUAUUCAAAACUCAACAGGACAAGGUUGGAUUAGAGACCUCUAGAGGUCUCUUCUGGCCUCAAUUACUCUAUGAUUCAGUACAGACCUGCUCAGGUUGAGGUGUUUCCUAGUUCUGAUCUGUAAGUGUUGACUUGUUUAAAGAAAUUCUCUGAAUUUGUUGUUGUUUUUUGUAUUGGUGUUUGAUUUUUUGUUUGUUUGGGGUUUUUUUUCUCAUUUGGUUGGGUUUUUUUCUCUUUUGCUAUUCAUAAAAAGUUCUCUUUCCUACUUUUCUAAUAGAGGGGAGCUUUAUUUGCAGGGUCUGGCUCCAGGCUCCAAUCAAGCCAUAAGAAAUAAAUUUCAUUAUUUCCUCUGUUUACACAGUUCUUCAGGGAUAUUUGAAUUAUUCUGUUUGUUUCAUUGCCUAACGUCAGACUGGUAAGUUUUCCAUGUUUUAGUAACAUUUGUGCUGUAGAUCAGAUUUUGCCUUCGUUUGUGGGAAUUUAUUGUUGUCUUGCUGCUGUGAGUGCAGGUGAAAAAUUUCACAUAGCUGAACUUGUUAGAGGUUAACUGUGGUUAACUGUUGUUAACUUAAGUCCACUGAUGACUAUGAUAAGCUAGAAGGUUUUGGUUCAGUAAAUCAUGAACUGGUGAUUAUCAGAAGCUGAAAGGGUCUGACUGGGAAAGAGUCACAUCCUCUCUUAGAUCCUCCUUUUCUUACCUUAAGUGUUUGCUGUUGGCCGCCACUUGGAAAAAACCCACACUUAACUUCAGGUCUGAUUUGGAUGUAAUUUUGAAGAGCAAUAGUAAUGGUGUUUGCCAGUAUGGACUGAGAUGGGGUCAGUUAGACUCCCAACUGUUAAUUUCUGCCUUCGAGGUGCCUAAGAACAUGAUUUCACCAGAAUUUUUACUUCUCUUAGAUGGUAUAAAAAUUUUCCUUCACAAUGAGGUGCUGCUUGCAAAGAAGUAAAAUGAAAGCAUUGUGAUGGCCUUCCACUGGAGCAGUUGAGUCACCAAGACAUGUGAUAGUUGUCACGGGGUUUCAUAAGGAAACGGGUUUUAUUUUUUGUGUAGAUAAAACCAGCAAAAUUGGUGUGAGAGUUUUGAAAACUCAAAAUCGCUGCUCCUAAAGCACUUAAUGCAGGAUGUUGCUUCCCUGUGUGUAAUCUUAACUCAAAUGCGAAGCUGGAUUCACACCUCUCUCUGCAGCUUACUAAGAUUCAGUAUGACAUUUUGCCCAUAGUAUGAGACCUGUGGAUGUUUAGUGUAAGAUUCCCCCCCACCCCUAUCCCUGGAAUUCUGCUCAUUUUAGAUAAUAAUUUUCUCAUCAGAAGGUUUAUAUUCCUUCUUCCACCCCAGUUACAUCAUUGUGCAGCCCUCACCCCACAGUGUUCAUCAGCUUCUUUCAUGUUCAUUGGACAAUUACCAGCAAAUUCUAGGGGUUGUUUUUGUCAAAAUAAUCUUUGCUCUUAUUUUAGACAAGACUUCCCACCCAAGCAGCUCUUGCACUCUUUGAAGUUAUUUAAAUUGAUAAUACUAUUUUUAUCAAAGUCUUAAGCUUGUAGGCAAUAAUCUUGAGUUUGGUGUAGCUUUUAUCAUUUGGCAGGAAUCUUUGUUGGCAGGAUUGGUCUUGAAAUCUGUGUUACGUAUCAGUGACUUAACAUGUUCAUUAGACAGCUGGAGAUUUUGUGCAUGUGUUAGUAGCAGUAGUCAGGGUUGUAUUGUGUUCCUGGCUAAUUUAAUGGAGUUUUGUGGAGUCAGGCAUUUUCACUGUGAUUUCUUGGAAGGGAAGGUUGAUGGCCGGACCAAAAAGUACCUUGCAGUUCCCAAGAAGAGCUGCAGAAACAUUUCAAAAUAAAACAUCCCCCCUUGGGCUUUUUUGCAGCUGGGAUAUUUACUCAGGAUAUUAAAUCAGUUAUUGGCCAAGAGGCAUUUGGCAAGCUGAAAAGCAUAGCCCUGAAACCUUCAUUUUAGCAUCUAUUAUUGUUGUCUAAUUUAUGGGAUUUAAACUGUCUGACUAAUGAAAAAAAGAGGCAUUCUAGAGAUGGCAGCUAUAAAUUCAAAUUUAAAAUACACAGAAACUUACUUUUCUCCUUCGUGAGAAAUGCGUUUUAACUAGAAAAGUGGACUUGGUUGUUUUGAGGACUAUCAGUAAGAUGACAGCAUUUUGAUGUUGUUUUUUGUCCAACAAAUAUAAAUAAAAUCAAACAAGUGGCAGUGAUCUCAGCAGCACCAGUGAAACAGAGAUGUGGGGAGAAAAAUUCAAGCAAUUUCAGAGUUGUUCAUCGCUAACCAUGGCCUUAGGUUUUGUCACUUAAAAAUAGGCUAGAAUUGUUUGUUCAUGCCUGUUUUCACAUAGGCAUCCAUUGAACACGGGUGAUGCUGCAGCUAAGAUGGUGUCAGCACAAUUACAAUAAUCAGUACAAACUACUCUGUUUUUGCUAAGGUUGUUCUUUAUGAAAACCCAUAUCAUACUUUAACUUGAGCUUACAGGAAAAAGUAAGCAAAUAUAUUUUGCUCUUUCAAAAUGAUAAGAUAUGCUCUGUGAUGUCUGCAAUGUGCUUGUAUCCAGGCGAUAAUAUGGAUAGCUUAUGUCAUGGAGAUAAAACAGGGUUUGCCGUUUUGAGUGCGGAGGAAAAAAAAUCACAAAACGUAUUUUAAAUGCCCCUUUUAAUCAGGCUGAUCAAGAAAACGAACUAAUCUGUUUGAUUGCUGCAAUGUUGUGCUCUUCCUCAUUCUUUCCAGUAAGCUUUGGAGUGCUUUGGCCAACAGCUUAAGCGGGAGUGAACUAAACCCAUUGAACUGGAGUGAACUGCGUAAUGGGCCUUUGAUGUUUCUGUAGAGGAUACCAAUUGCACUGUUGUCCUUGGUUCCUGAAGUGAGGAAUCCUGAAGCUAGCUCUUCUGUGCCCCUCCAGGCUCUCCUUCAUAGUGUCUCAGUUUGAAAGCCUUAUCAGGCAUUGUUGCCAAGUAUAUAACCGUAUUGUCCUCAAGCUGUCUGCUGUCUCCUUUUGGUGUCAUGAUACAAGCUAACUCACCUUUGCUUAAGAAAUCUCAAACUAGCCUGCAGCUGGAUAGUAGCUGGACAGCAUGGUUGUCCCUCUCUACAGGAGAAGAUACAUGGUGGUGACCUAAAAUAACAUCAUAACCUUUCUCUGAUAGGUUGCUGGGUUCAUAGGGUGUUAUGUGCCUUUUUAUUCUGUGUUUUUGUGAGAAACAUUAUCUGUUGACCAGUCUUGAGCACUGCAGAGCCUGUGCUCCAUUUUUGCCCUCAAUUUUCGUGACCAUAUUUUUCCAUAAUGCUGCUGUUCUGCUGUAGUUCAGUGUCAGACAGGUUUCUGGAGUAUUGUGGUGUGCAAAGAUGCGUAUAGAGACUCUUAGUCAAAUUUAGAAAAAUUAGCAGGUUCUUGACUCCAACAGAUUUGCAAAGUUAGGAACUUCCUUAGGUUCUUAUUUAAAUCCUCCAGAUACUUCUCAGCUUCUUCAUACUGAAAUACUUGUGUGUAAAUCUCAUCCAGUGUCAUGUGGUUCAGAACAGACCCGUGGGUCAUGGGUACUUUAGUUCUUCCAGCAUGGUUACCUCUGGUGGUACUACACUCACAGUAGCAGCUCAUUUUCUAGCAUGUGUUUUUAGACAUUAGCUUGCUGCUGUUACUGCCCCCAACUCAGCUUCCUAUCCUCCUCUCCCCAGCCCUUCUCCUUAACUAAUUAAAGUCUUCCAUGUUAUGGCAAGAUGGCAUAUGUAGCUUAAAUAACCCACCUCUGUAAUUAAGAGGUUGGCUUUAGCCUUCUGAGAUAUAUUUUACAUCAUUAGAGAUUUAAAAAUACAUUUUACUUAUAAAGUUUAUCUGUGAAAUCUCUCAAGGAGGGCAAAGAGGUAAUGAAAGUAAAUUAUUAACUAAUAUUCCUCACCCAAUAUAUUCCAUUAAGAAUAUUAAGCAUAUAUUCCAUUCCACAAAACACAUUUGACUUUGGAUAUAUUUUUUUUAAGUCUGCCUGCUGAUGAAGUUGCUGCUAUCUCUCUUUGACAGGACUGUAAUGGCAGUACUGAAAAUAUCCUUCAGGAGCUAACCAGAGCCAGAACUCAGAACAUCAGAUCCAGGUUUUCCUAUACUAGAGUGCAAACCAUUUCAUUUAUGCAUUUUGGCAAGUGAGCAGAUCUUUUCAGGACAAAAAUGACAUAGAUUCACCCUUAACACAUUCAAGCUCUUCCUUUUUUGAAAAGGUUUGAUAGAAAGGUUUGAGUUUAGGUGGAGCAAUGCUGGAUUCAGAAUGGUGAAGAAGAAAUUCGACGUGUCGCUGGGCGCAUUGCACAACAUGCGUAACUACUACAUGAGCAGGGUAAACAUAUUGGAUGCUUUAUUGAUGAGAUAGGCAAAGCAGUUUAUGAAAUGCUCUGAAAUCUCCAACAUAUGUUUCUUUGUGCCAGAGUGUCUUCAUGGCUCACCAUGUAGCAUUAUAAAGUUCCUUGAGGAGUUGUUAUUGGAAUUUGAAACAUGCUUUGGUUUGUUGAAGAGGUAGUUUCAUAUCAGUUUAGCUGAACAUUUACAUCUGGGCACACAGCUGCUCACUGGGCAGUAACAGUUUAAUUCUGCAACUCUUCCUUCCUUUAGAGCUCUCUUAAGACACAGUCCUCUUUCUCCAGGUGCAUUUUUUUUUUUUUUUUGCAUUUGGAAGGGCAGGAUGGUUCAUUCAUCCUGAUGGAUGAAGUAGAUAGAAUAGGGAGUUUGCAUCAGGAUUGUGGGAGGCCAUCUAAAAUUCAGGGUCUCCUUGUAGGUGAUAGACUGGUCCCUUCUGGCCUUAAUUGUAAAACUAUGAUUCCAAAGAGGUAAACUUUUCUUUUACCUUUAUAACCUGUUCAUAGUAUUUAAUAAUUUAUAGAGAUUUGAGUACUAGAGGGGUUCUCUGCAGUAAGAACUUCUUUGACUUUCCAUCAGAGAACAUAUUGUGCCUUAUGUCUCUAAACCACAUGGAGUUCCAGUUCUGUAUGAUAAAUACAUUUUUACACUUUGUACUUCUGCCAUAGUGGGAAUCAAACAAAUGUAGUUUUGAUAACAGGUGGUUUCUGUAUGCUGCUGUAUUAUUUAGAUUUGCUCCAGUAUCUUACCAAUUCAGGCUAUCUAUUCCACUGACGCAGCGAUAAGUAUUUUCAUACCAGCCAGUGUUGAGCAGCUAAGGUAGCUCUGGAACAACAUUAUUCUGUUCAACUGUUAUUUUUGCUUCUUACAUAAAAAUCAGUAAAAAACCCCUAACCAAAAGCCGAAGUCAGUUUGAAUUUCUAACCUUUAUUAUGUUAGACAUUGACUACAUGAAUUCCAGUUGCUAAGGGUACCUUGCAGUGAUUUUUACUAUUACCCAAGAACGUUUAACAUGAAAAUCAUUCAGUAUGAAUAGAAUUUGAUCAGUCGUGACCAUCCUCUAGCUGCAGCGCCUCGAGCAACUGGCGUUUUUUACAAGUACUUUCAUCAAUUGCCAAAGUGCUUCAAAAAAUAUCACAGUCAGCAGAAGUCCUCUUGCUAAACUAAUGUCUCCUCUUAUUUCCUACACUGAGCCUGUAUUUCCUUGACGGAGUUCCAGAUGAGUGUUUUGAGCUGUACCUCUCCCAGCUGCUCUGAGCCAUUCCCUUUCCUCUGAAGUUGAUUGUUAUUGGUACUGAAUUUGUCACACAUUGUUUUCCCAAACUUCAGUUCUUCUCAUGGACGUAAUUUCUUUUAUCGUUUAUCCAAGCUCCUUCACACCCGGGUAAUCCUGGUUUACUUGGUGUGCUGGUGGUUUUCUCACACAGUGCUCUGACCUGAUCCCGUUGUUCAUACAGGCUCCAGAUGAGGAUAUAUAUUGUUUCCAUCCUAAUAAAAAGCCAUCCAACAUAGUGCUGAAGCUUAGAUUUGGCUCAGUCUUAGGAAAUCUUCCUAGCUUUCUGCUACCUUAAAUAACGUGGGUUUUUCCAGCAUGGUUAGUUAGCAGCCCUCAUCCCUGUCCUCAUACCAGUUUUACCGCUUAGAUUAGAAAAUCAGGGAAAUAGUAACUUUUAAGUAUAAUAUUUUUUAUUAUUACUUGGACUAUUCUUUUUUUAUUGGGAAGACUGGUACUGGGCUGUGCACUUCAGCAGAUACUCAGCAAUGUUCUAGCAAAUUGCUUGCAAAAACAAAGGCCUAUCACAGAUACAGCAGUGCUUCAGAACACUGAUUUGAUGUUUCUUGCACGCAAUUAUCAUGCUCAGGUUUAUCUGUUCUGUUUAGUUCU